AACGAACGCUGGCGGCAUGCCUAACACAUGCAAGUCGAACGAGACCUUCGGGUCUAGUGGCGCACGGGUGCGUAACGCGUGGGAACCUGCCCUUAGGUUCGGAAUAACUCCCCGAAAGGGGUGCUAAUACCGGAUAAUGUCUUCGGACCAAAGAUUUAUCGCCUUUGGAUGGGCCCGCGUUGGAUUAGCUAGUUGGUAGGGUAAAAGCCUACCAAGGCGACGAUCCAUAGCUGGUCUGAGAGGAUGAUCAGCCACACUGGGACUGAGACACGGCCCAGACUCCUACGGGAGGCAGCAGUGGGGAAUAUUGGACAAUGGGCGAAAGCCUGAUCCAGCAAUGCCGCGUGAGUGAUGAAGGCCUUAGGGUUGUAAAGCUCUUUUAUCCGGGAUGAUAAUGACAGUACCGGGAGAAUAAGCACCGGCUAACUACGUG
rnacentral:rRNA from 1 species